AACCUAGCACACCUGCGGUGUGUACCUGCGGAGGGAUCAUUACCGAGUUUACAACUCCCAAACCCCUGUGAACAUACCAAUUGUUGCCUCGGCGGAUCAGCCCGCUCCCGGUAAAACGGGACGGCCCGCCAGAGGACCCCUAAACUCUGUUUCUAUAUGUAACUUCUGAGUAAAACCAUAAAUAAAUCAAAACUUUCAGCAAUGGAUCU
rnacentral:misc_RNA from 1 species